CUCGUGAUCCCUUUCUUGCUCCCUCUCCCUCGCAGCCGCCCUCCCGGCAAUCACGGAAGCGCCCCUGCCACUGCCGUCCUCCACUGCACGAGCGUCGCCGCCCUGGCCUCCUCUGCUGUGUGCGGGAACUCGCCGCGCCCGAUUUGCCACCACCACAAGCGAAAGAGGGAUCAAGAAGCGAGAUCCAUAUUGAACCAAUCUCGCCGAACCUUUCCCGGUGGAGAUGCAGCAGAAGAGACGGAACAAGAUCGUGCUAACUGUGUUGCUGCUGACGGGGGCGGCGGUGCUGAUCGUGGGCACGCUAGAGCUGUUGAUACCGACGACCUUGACGUAUUGACGUGGCUGUGAAGCUCAAGGAAUCACAGGAGAAGAUGCGCAACAGAUCAUCUCCGACUUCUUUAAGGUCUACCAGUUCGAGAAGCUCUUCGCCAAGCGCAGCUACCCCGUCGGAUGGACCUCUACGCAUUCCUUGGCCACGUUGGUGCCAAGGCAUCAUGUGAUUGAUAGUCCAUUUACUCAUCUUCUCCGAUGGUCCAGAUGAUGAAUUGUUGGGGCCACUGUGCUUCGCGUAAUUUGAUAUCCUGCAAGGUGAUUGCAGGGCUGUUGAAAAGCAGGUGAGGGGCACUUUGGUUAGUUGUGCCUGAUGGGAUUCUUCGAUUAUGAUUGCAGGGCUGUUGAAAAGCAGGUGAGGGGCACUUUGGUUAGUUGUGAACGAUGAACAAUUUUCAGGGAAGAAAAGUGAGUUCAAUACUUCAAAUGCUAAAUUUAGGCGUACCGCGUACGUCAUGUGCUCGAUGGACUGGAGUGCCCAUGAUAAGUCGAGGUACGACAUGCUAGAAAUAGCUUACCAUGAUGCAUGGCUUGAAGUAAAUAAUCCUGGUUUUGCAAGUUUUGCAGUAAUUACCUAUUGACUGUUUGAGAAUGCAUAUUUUUCAGAAGGAGAUGAUUUGUUCUAUUUCUAUUGUUAAUUAAUGGAGUUAAUGUUUCCUAAAUAAUUGAGUAUGAAACACACUCUUUGGUAUUAUCCCAUCUAUAUGUUGGUUUGAUUCUAUGGUCAACUACUUUGCUGGGAAAUCUUAUCUUCAACAACGUGUUGCAAGUGAGGAUGAGGAGCAGAGUCGGCGAGAGCUCCAGGGGCCACAGCUGAGGUGGACAGGACGAGUGUCGCAGGAGGCAGCGAUGAGGUCGUGCAGAUGAGGAUGAGAGAUUCAGAGGAUCGAGAAGGAUUGAAAGAGCUGGUAGAUGGAGGUGGAAGAGAUAGGGAUGUGAGGGAAUUGAGAGAGUUGAGAGCAGGGAAUAUUAUUUCUCCUAUUUUCACUUGCUAAUAGGGUUGCAGAUUUGCUGCAGAAAAAAGAACUGUAGGCAUCUGUUAGUCAUAUAAUCAACAACCAGCGGCCAGUCUGAGAGCAAUGCAAAACUGGUUGAUGCCUCGAUGUUGGCCUUGCGUUUAUGUGAUAGGUCAAGACAGCUGACAUGGCCUGCAGUUACACUCCCGAGAAAAAUAGAUUGCAUUUAAAGCCUCGAUCAUGCUUGGUUCAGGCCGUAAAUUAUGGUGGCUGCUAGAUACUUGACAUGGUCCACCAUAGUUUUUGGUUGCAAGUUGUAGCGCUUCUGCAAGUGUACAGUAUGAGCAUAAGAUCAUAUGGCUUAUUUUUGUACUCAGGUCAGAAAAAUUAUGUAGUAACUGGAUCCUGGUCCAGUAGAGAUUUAUCGUUAGUGGAGGUGCUUGUCUUCCUUUUGGCACUUACACUUCCAGUCAAAGGAUGGGAUCAUCCACAUCUAAUGAUUUAUUUGACACAAUGCUUUAGUGUUAACUGGUCAUGUUAAUGCUAUGUUAUAAAUGUUUUUUUGCUUCGAUUUUCAAGGGGCGAUGCGUAGUGGGACAAUGCGAACGUAUGCUGACCCCAGUGCCAUGGAGCUGUCAUUUUGCAGCAAGGUUCCCUUUUACAUGACCCUUUCAGUUGUUAUUGUGAUUCUGAAUUCUGCUGUGUUUAAUUCAGUUCAUGCAUCAAAUAUUUUAUCCCGUUCAAUAACUGUCCCCACACAUGUAUAGGAUACUCUGGUGAAGUUCUAUUAUGUAGAUACCAGGUACAACCAAGGGUGUUCACUUACACUGUUUUUUCACGAACGAAACUUGCAAAAGGUUUCCUUUUUUAUACUAACCAUUAAUUUUAGUUAAUAUAUCCGGAUCUCUUGAAUUUGGCUUAUUAAACUCAGUAUAUCAGUUGAAUGGUGCAUAAAUUUCAGAGAUAGUUUUGUUCCUCCAAUUGCAUGUUUUAUCUAUUUUGAAAUAGAAAGUACAUCAUUUUCUCGUUUCCAUGGGGAAACAUAUAUCUGGUGCUCAUAUUUGACUUUUGAGUAUAGCCCUUGCUUCUUGCACUAGAUUACUUUUAUAUUAUGUUGGCUUAGUAUAUAGAAGUGCUUCCCGUGGAGAAAACUUGAACACCUCUUAGUUCAAGGAAAUUAUUUGACUGUCUUGGUACCGCAUAAGUACUUGGUUGUUUUUUAUGUUUGUAGAGAGUAAUUAUUACUGUUCGGACAUUGUUAUUACCUCUGCAUCUGCGGUUCAACAUUUCAAUAAUCGUUGUUCUCUUGAUCCCUUUUUAUGUGGCAUAAAUAUUUUGUUGAAAGGAUCCUUUUGUGGGCAUUAUGCUGGAAGAGAUUGUUGCCAUGAUACACACGGAUGUUCCAAGCGGGCAGUUAGAGCUGCAUAUUGCCAAGUAUAAAACAGAGUGUAACAUUUCAGCAUGGUAUACCUGCAGACAAGAGAAUAAUUAUACUGAACAUGUUUGAUGAUAUUGUAAGUUAUUGAAGCCUCGAAGUUUGAAGAUUUUCUUAGAUUUUUGAUGCAGAUGCAAUUUAUUCAUUUGUCCAAAAAGAAUGGAGAAUAUCUAUGAGAUAGAGUCAAAAUAUUUGAACGCCAUUGGGUAACUUAUCUGCAUACUAUUCAUCUGAGUGUGAAUAUGUAUUCUGCU